rnacentral:tRNA from 1 species
CGGAUAGCUCAGUUUGGCAGAGCGCAGCCUUUACACGGCUGAGGUCACAGGUUCGAACCCUGUUCCGCCCACCA